rnacentral:rRNA from 1 species
AUUGAACGCUGGCGGCAGGCUUAACACAUGCAAGUCGAGCGGAGAUGAGGUGCUUGCACCUUAUCUUAGCGGCGGACGGGUGAGUAAUGCUUAGGAAUCUGCCUAUUAGUGGGGGACAACAUUCCGAAAGGAAUGCUAAUACCGCAUACGUCCUACGGGAGAAAGCAGGGGAUCUUCGGACCUUGCGCUAAUAGAUGAGCCUAAGUCGGAUUAGCUAGUUGGUGGGGUGAAGGCCUACCAAGGCGACGAUCUGUAGCGGGUCUGAGAGGAUGGUCCGCCACACUGGGACGGAGACACGGCCCAGACGCCUACGGGAGGCAGCAGUGGGGAAUAUUGGACAAUGGGGGGAACCCUGAUCCAGCCAUGCCGCGUGUGUGAAGAAGGCCUUAUGGUUGUAAAGCACUUUAAGCGAGGAGGAGGCUACUGAGACUAAUACUCUUGGAUAGUGGACGUUACUCGCAGAAUAAGCACCGGCUAACUCUGUGCCAGCCGCCGCAGUAAAAC